ACACAUGUGAUGUCAUCACCACUGUCAUCAGUGAGGGGCCUAAACUGUAGGAACCUAGGAAUGCAACUUCAUACCCGCCUGUGACUGAUGCACACUUUCCAGGCUGUGGGGCAGCACAUACACUGACACAUUGGCCCAAAUUCUAGAGGUAACCUCCUUUAGUAUGCCCAGAGGAAGGGCAGUACAGUAGCCAUGGAUUCCCUACAGGUUUCCUCCCCUCUGGAGGUUUUUCCUGUCCUGAGUUAGUUACUGUCCGCUCUUUGUGAGUGAUGGAGGUUACAUAAAAUCCCUACACAAACAUUUUUGUAAAUAAUAAAUAAAGUUCCCCUUUUUUUAAACUGUU